AUAAGUUGAUUUUCAGGUUGUAAAGAAAUUUUAUAGCUCAGUCUUCUAGUUUGUGUAUCCUGGAAAUUCCACUUAUAUGAAUAAAUUGGACAGUCUUCUAUUAUGACUCAGUCUACAGAGUAUUUUAUAAACUAUUAGGCCCCAUUUUUCCAUCAGGAAUGCAUAUCUACCAAAAAAUUAUAACUAAAAAAGUUAAAUGUGCAUAUUAUUGCUAACAUUUGAAUUGAGUAGUAAUUGUAUUAUAUGUAAGUAACAAACAUUUUGAAUAAUAGAUUAAUUUUAAUAAUAGCACCUGACAAAUAUAUCUAAUGUAAUCUACAUAAUUAUACCUCUUAAACAAUUGUGCAGCCAUGCGACUUCAUAUAUUAUGAUGGCUCCACUAUUAAUAGUGGAAUUCAUGUUUAUCAGUGGUUGACUUGUAUUCAUAGAUAUUAGAUAUUAAACACAUUAACAUCUAUUAAACAUAGUUUUGUAGAUGUAUAUUAUGCAUAUUGAAUAGUUAUAUAAUUAACAUGUCUACAAUACAAUUAUUAAACAUUGAAUAGCAGUAUAAUACCUAUGUGUAAAAUAGGUUAAUAAUUAUAGAAUAGCUAUAUAUUAUAUAGUAAUUACUCAAAUAAUUUCUAAAAGUAUUUAAAAUAAUCUUCAAAUACAAAAAAUAUUCAAUUUAGUUCUGAAAUUAUUUAUUUUAAUCACAAAUUUGAUUAUUGCAUUUCCAAAGCACAUUUUCUUUAAAAUGUUAAUGAGUCAUGUAUAAUUCUUUUUUAAUUAUAGUUGCACCACUAACACUGAACACUUUAUACAGAAACACUUCUAGGUAGUGGAGUGUUGUACUUCACAAAAAAAAAAACAUUUAUUUAAGCCAUGAAUAGGAAACUGAUCUUGAAUGAUCCAUAAAUGAUAAAUAUAUAAUAUUAAUUAUUAUAAUGUUGAAGCAGGACAGCAUGGUAUUUUUAUUUAACAAGAU